rnacentral:rRNA from 1 species
CCUACGGGAGGCAGCAGUGGGGAAUUUUGGACAAUGGGCGCAAGCCUGAUCCAGCCAUGCCGCGUGUGGGAAGAAGGCCUUCGGGUUGUAAACCACUUUUGUCAGGGAAGAAACGGCUCUUACUAAUAUUAGGGGCUAAUGACGGUACCUGAAGAAUAAGCACCGGCUAACUACGUGCCAGCAGCCGCGGUAAUACGUAGGGUGCAAGCGUUAAUCGGAAUUACCGGGCGUAAAGCGUGCGCAGGCGGCUUUGCAAGACAGAUGUGAAAUCCCCGGGCUCAACCUGGGAACUGCAUUUGUGACUGCAUGGCUAGAGUACGGUAGAGGGGGAUGGAAUUCCGCGUGUAGCAGUGAAAUGCGUAGAUAUGCGGAGGAACACCGAUGGCGAAGGCAAUCCCCUGGACCUGUACUGACGCUCAUGCACGAAAGCGUGGGGAGCAAACAGGAUUAGAUACCCUGGUAGUCCACGCCCUAAACGAUGUCAACCGGUUGUUGGACGGCUUGCUGUUCAGUACGAAGCUAACGCGUGAAGUUGACCGCCUGGGGAGUCGGCCGCAAGGUUGAAACUCAAAUGAAUUGACGGCUGAGAGNGCGAGCGACGACGAGGGAGGAGG